AUACGUAGGGUGCGAGCGUUAAUCGGAAUUACUGGGCGUAAAGGGUGCGCAGGCGGCGCCAUAAGACAGAUGUGAAAUCCCCGGGCUCAACCUGGGAACUGCGUUUGUGACUGUGGUGCUUGAGUGCGGCAGAGGGGGGUGGAAUUCCACGUGUAGCAGUGAAAUGCGUAGAGAUGUGGAGGAACACCGAUGGCGAAGGCAGCCCCCUGGGUCGACACUGACGCUCAUGCACGAAAGCGUGGGGAGC
rnacentral:rRNA from 1 species